rnacentral:rRNA from 1 species
UGGCGGCAGGCCUAACACAUGCAAGUCGAACGGUAGCACAGAGAGCUUGCUCUCGGGUGACGAGUGGCGGACGGGUGAGUAAUGUCUGGGAAACUGCCUGAUGGAGGGGGAUAACUACUGGAAACGGUAGCUAAUACCGCAUAACGUCGCAAGACCAAAGAGGGGGGGGGACCUUCGGGGCCUCUUGCCAUCAGAUGUGCCCCAGAUGGGAUUAGCUAGUAGGUGGGGUAAUGGCUCACCUAGGCGACGAUCCCUAGCUGGUCUGAGAGGAUGACCAGCCACACUGGAACUGAGACACGGUCCAGACUCCUACGGGAGGCAGCAGUGGGGAAUGUUGCACAAUGGGCGCAAGCCUGAUGCAGCCAUGCCGCGUGUAUGAAGAAGGCCUUCGGGUUGUAAAGUACUUUCAGCGAGGAGGAAGGCAUUGCGGCUAAUAACCGCAGUGAUUGACGUUACUCGCAGAAGAGCACCGGCUAACUCCGUG